rnacentral:rRNA from 1 species
GACGUAGGGGGCCAGCGUUGUUCGGAAUUACUGGGUGUAAAGGGUUCGUAGGCGGUGCGGCAAGUUGGGAGUGAAAUCUCUGGGCUUAACCCAGAGGCUGCUUCCAAAACUGCUGUGCUUGAGUGUGGGAGAGGCGCGUGGAAUUGCAGGUGUAGCGGUGAAAUGCGUAGAAAUCUGCAGGAACACCCGUGGCGAAAGCGGCGCGCUGGACCACUACUGACGCUGAGGAACGAAAGCGUGGGGAGCGAACAGG